UACGUAGGGGGCAAGCGUUGUCCGGAUUUAUUGGGCGUAAAGCGCUCGCAGGUGGUCCGUCGCGUCGUGCGUGAAAUACCCCGGCUCAACUGGGGGGGGUCGUGCGAUACGGGCGGACUGGAGGCCAGUAGGGGGAUGCGGAAUUCCGGGUGUAGUGGUGGAAUGCGUAGAGAUCCGGAGGAACACCAGCGGCGAAGGCGGCAUCCUGGACCGGCAUUGACGCUGAGGAGCGAAAGCCAGGGGAGCAAACGGG
rnacentral:rRNA from 1 species